rnacentral:rRNA from 1 species
AUUGAACGCUGGCGGAAUGCUUUACACAUGCAAGUCGAACGGCAGCACGGACUUCGGUCUGGUGGCGAGUGGCGAACGGGUGAGUAAUGUAUCGGAACGUGCCCAGUCGUGGGGGAUAACGUAGUGAAAAUUACGCUAAUACCGCAUACGAUCUAUGGAUGAAAGCGGGGGAUCGCAAGACCUCGAGCGAUUGGAGCGGCCGAUAGCAGAUUAGGUAGUUGGUGGGGUAAAGGCCCACCAAGCCAACGAUCUGUAGCUGGUCUGAGAGGACGACCAGCCACACUGGAACUGAGACACGGUCCAGACUCCUACGGGAGGCAGCAGUGGGGAAUCUUGGACAAUGGGCGAAAGCCUGAUCCAGCCAUUCCGCGUGCAGGAUGAAGGCCCUCGGGUUGUAAACUGCUUUUGUACAGAACGAAAAGGUUUCUACUAAUACUAGGAGCUCAUGACGGUACUGUAAGAAUAAGCACCGGCUAACUACGUGCCAGCCGCCGCCGUAA